rnacentral:rRNA from 1 species
CCUACGGGAGGCAGCAGUGAGGAAUAUUGGUCAAUGGGCGGAAGCCUGAACCAGCCAAGUCGCGUGAGGGAAUAAGGCCCUACGGGUCGUAAACCUCUUUUGCCGGGGAGCAAUGUCCGGCACGCGUCCCGUCCUGGAUAUUCCCCGUAGAAAAAGCAGCGGCUAACGCGUUCCCAGCAGCGGCGGUAAUCCGGGGGAUGCGAGCGUUAUCCGUUUUUAUGGGGUUAAAGGGGGGGGUCAGCGGUCGUUUAAGUCAGCGGUAAAAAUUCGGGGCUCAACCCCAUCCUGCCGUUGAAACUGGCGGCCUUGAGUGGGGGAGAGGUAGGCGGAAUGCGCGGUGUAGCGGUGAAAUGCAUAGAUAUCGCGAAGAACUCCGAUUGCGAAGGCAGCAUGCCGGAUCGACACUGACGCUGAGGCACGAAAGCGUGGGUAUCGAACAGGAUUAGAUACCCUGGUAGUC